UUCUUAUCCAGAGAGGUGGAGGGUCUGGCCCGAUGAAGCCCGGCAACCGUUGCAUAUUGCAACAAGGUGCCAAUUCCUGCGAGACGUUUCGUCUCGAAAGAUAAGAA
rnacentral:ncRNA from 19 species